UACGUAGGGUGCAAGCGUUGUCCGGAAUUAUUGGGCGUAAAGAGCUCGUAGGCGGCUUGUCGCGUCGGCUGUGAAAACCUGGGGCUCAACCCCGGGCCUGCAGCCGAUACGGGCAAGCUAGAAUUCGGUAGGGGAGACUGGAAUUCCUGGUGUAGCGGUGAAAUGCGCAGAUAUCAGGAGGAACACCGGUGGCGAAGGCGGCGACCUGGGACGAUACUGACGCUGAGGUGCGAAAGCGUGGGGAGCAAACAGG
rnacentral:rRNA from 1 species